rnacentral:rRNA from 14 species
GUCUAUGGCCAUGUCACCCUAUCCUCAACCUAUCUCUUUUCAUCUCAGCAGGGCCUGGUUAGUACUUGGAUGGGAGGCUGCUGAAGAGAACAAAGUACUGUAGGCU